rnacentral:rRNA from 1 species
UAGGGAAUCUUCGGCAAUGGACGGAAGUCUGACCGAGCAACGCCGCGUGAGUGAAGAAGGUUUUCGGAUCGUAAAGCUCUGUUGUAAGAGAAGAACGAGUGUGAGAGUGGAAAGUUCACACUGUGACGGUAUCUUACCAGAAAGGGACGGCUAACUACGUGCCAGCAGCCGCGGUAAUACGUAGGUCCCGAGCGUUGUCCGGAUUUAUUGGGCGUAAAGCGAGCGCAGGCGGUUAGAUAAGUCUGAAGUUAAAGGCUGUGGCUUAACCAUAGUACGCUUUGGAAACUGUUUAACUUGAGUGCAAGAGGGGAGAGUGGAAUUCCAUGUGUAGCGGUGAAAUGCGUAGAUAUAUUGGAGGAACACCGGUGGCGAAAGCGGCUCUCUGGCUUGUAACUGACGCUGAGGCUCGAAAGCGUGGGGAGCAAACAGGAUUAGAUACCCUGGUAGUCCACGCCGUAAACGAUGAGUGCUAGGUGUUAGACCCUUUCCGGGGUUUAGUGCCGCAGCUAACGCAUUAAGCACUCCGCCUGGGGAGUACGACCGCAAGGUUG